UACGUAGGCAGCAAGCGUUGUUCGGAGUUACUGGGCGUAAAGAGCUCGUAGGUGGUUUGUCGCGUUGUCCGUGAAAACUCACAACUCAAUUGUGGGCGUGCGGGCGAUACGGGCAGACUGGAGUACUGCAGGGGAGACUGGAAUUCCUGGUGUAGCGGUGGAAUGCGCAGAUAUCAGGAGGAACACCGGUGGCGAAGGCGGAUCUCUGGGCCUUACCUGACGCUGAGGCGCGAAAGCGUGGGGAGCGAACAGG
rnacentral:rRNA from 1 species